rnacentral:rRNA from 1 species
GAUGAACGCUAGCGGGAGGCUUAACACAUGCAAGUCGAGGGGUAAAUGGUAGCAAUACUAUGAGACCGGCGAACGGGUGCGUAACGCGUAUGCAACUUACCUUAUGCAGGGGGAUAGCCCGUGGAAACGCGGAUUAAUAUCCCAUAGAUCAGUAAUAUCGCAUGGUAUAACUGGUAAAACUCAGGUGGCAUAAGAUGGGCAUGCGUCUGAUUAGCUAGUUGGUAGGGUAACGGCCUACCAAGGCGACGAUCAGUAGGGGUUCUGAGAGGAUUAACCCCCACACUGGUACUGAGACACGGACCAGACUCCUACGGGAGGCAGCAGUGAGGAAUAUUGGUCAAUGGGCGCAAGCCUGAACCAGCCAUCCCGCGUGAAGGAAGAAGGCCCUACGGGUUGUAAACUUCUUUUCUGUUUGAAGAAUAAGCUCGUCGAGACGAGUGAUGCCGGUAGGACAGGAAUAAAGCAAUCGGCUAACUCCGUGCCAGCAGCCGCGGUAAAGCAA